CUUCUCCACCUUUGCCUGAAGAAAAUGCUGAGUGGGAUGAUGCUCCUUGCUGGGGCAUCUCAAACAGGGAAGGAGAUGAGACUCCCUUGCAUGCAGCCCUCUGAAAAAGAGUGAAUCGGUUUCAAUUGUGAAACAAUGAUCCCAGGCAGAAUAGGCACCUAUAUAACCUGUGUUCCUGGUAUUUCACUGUCAUCAAAGUUGCAAAGCUGAGGACCAUGUGAGCAACAAGAGGCUCAGAAGCUUCAAGCAGACUCAUAUUGAAAGCAGAGUCAAGGUUACUGCCCACUAAGGAACGGCUGAGGACAAAAGGAAGACAAGCCUUAUGCUGCAGGAAGAGAAAACUGACCCCAUGUUAAAGACAUAGAUGCUUGUUCCAGUAGAAAAUAAAUGUGGCAGAUGUAUGACUUGCUCAUUCAAGAAGCCAAGACAAAUAAAGGACAUCAAUCAAGAAAUUAAUCUGAGUGAUUACUGGAGAAGGUAUUCAGUCACGCAUCACGUGAGAGGCCAUGUCUUCCUAAGCACCCAUGAUGAUGUACCUGGUGUCCCGAAGGCAGAAAUUACAUCUCGCUGUUAUUGUUGUUAUUGGAUGCUUCAUUAUUAUGUGAUGUUACCUGCAUUUGGUAUUCUACUAUCAAGUCUGAAUGCUUUUGUCUGCCUCUUUCUUAAUUCAAGAAAAGUGCAGUGGGUGGGGCAUCUUUGAAGGACUGAUGAGUGAGCAAGUCAGCUUUGCCAAGACAUGGGAUGAUGAAGCUAUAGCUCAUAGACUUUAAACAGCAGGGUGGGACUGGCUGGGUGCCUGACACUUCAGGCACUUAGCCAAGUGCUUCCACUUCCCUGGUCAUCUCUGACGAAGGAUACUCUUCUCCAGGCUCUUCAACUUCAGUAUUGCCACAGCCUUGAACAGGGUCAGUCUUUCUGCAGAAGAACUUGCAAAGGUGAUUUAGGAGGCCCAAAGAUGAAUCUUCAUGCUGUCUGCAGUAGGAGGGGUUAUUCUGGGUGGCCUGAAAUCAGGGUUUCCUGAAGGCCGUCAAAGGAUUCUUGCUCUUUCGCUCUGUAUGUCACCCGACAGCUGGCGAGUCUGGAAUGCACACUAUUCAUUUCAUUGCUUAGGUUGGGAUGUGGGACAUUCUUUCUCUCCUGAUGUGCUGGCUUUUCUCUAGGGCUUGCUGCCAGUGACUACACUACACAGCAGGACCCCCAUGUGGUUUGCAAGUGACGCCGGGGUCACCUGCUAGAGUACAGGAUCUGAUUGGGAAACCCCAUUUGGUGAUAUUGUCUGCAAUCACAUCUGUUUGGGACAUGUUGGUGAAGCAAUUAUUUCUGCUCCUCUAACUUCCCUGAUAUGUUUAGAAUUUACAGAUUUCUUGUUUUGUCCCCCUUUUCAGCUCACAAAAAUGCAGGGAACCAUUGCACUAGCUUCCUCUGAAAUUCUCACAGCUGCUUUUAAUUACUCACAGUUUCCACAAAGGAUAUCUUUAAGACUCUGAUUUUGCCAGCAUUUGAUAUUCACACCCAACUUGUAACUUAAUUAAGAGCUCCACCCUGAAGUAAUUUGAAAUGAAUUCUAUUCUAGGUGUUAUUAUACUAAGAUGAUAAAUCUAGUCUCACUCCGCAAUAGAUAGUAUACAUUCCAAGACAUGGUUAUUCUGACAUUAACUGAAAAUUUUUCAAUGACUCACAUAUAGGCUAAACCUCUUCACUUGUUCAUAUAUUAUUUAGUAAACCUAUCACCUGCUCGCAGGUGGGAAAAAAAUGGCCCUAUUUCUCUCCUAGCCACUUUCUUCGCAUU